GACGAACGCUGGCGGCGUGCUUAACACAUGCAAGUCGAACGGAGAAUUUUACUUCGGUAGAAUUCUUAGCGGCGAACGGGUGAGUAACGCGUAGACAACCUGCCUCUUAGAUGGGGACAACAUCGCGAAAGCGGUGCUAAUACCGAAUGAAGUGGAGCUUCCGCAUGGAAGCAUCACCAAAGGUGGCCUCUACUUAUAAGCUACCACUGAGAGAUGGGUCUGCGUCUGAUUAGCUAGUUGGCGGGGUAAUGGCCCACCAAGGCGACGAUCAGUAGCCGGUCUGAGAGGAUGAACAGCCACAUUGGGACUGAGACACGGCCCAAACUCCUACGGGAGGCAGCAGUGGGGAAUCUUCCGCAAUGGACGAAAGUCUGACGGAGCAACGCCGCGUGAGUGAAGAAGGUUCUCGGAUCGUAAAGCUCUGUUGUUUGAGACGAAUGUGCAGACUUUGAAUAAGGGUUUGUAAUGACGGUAUUAGACGAGAAAGCCACGGCUAACUACGUGCCAGCAGCCGCGGUAA
rnacentral:rRNA from 1 species